UUUGAUCCUGGCUCAGGAUGAACGCUAGCUACAGGCUUAACACAUGCAAGUCGAGGGGCAGCAUGGUCUUAGCUUGCUAAGGCCGAUGGCGACCGGCGCACGGGUGAGUAACACGUAUCCAACCUGCCGUCUACUCUUGGACAGCCUUCUGAAAGGAAGAUUAAUACAAGAUGGCAUCAUGAGUCCGCAUGUUCACAUGAUUAAAGGUAUUCCGGUAGACGAUGGGGAUGCGUUCCAUUAGAUAGUAGGCGGGGUAACGGCCCACCUAGUCUUCGAUGGAUAGGGGUUCUGAGAGGAAGGUCCCCCACAUUGGAACUGAGACACGGUCCAAACUCCUACGGGAGGCAGCAGUGAGGAAUAUUGGUCAAUGGGCGAGAGCCUGAACCAGCCAAGUAGCGUGAAGGAUGACUGCCCUAUGGGUUGUAAACUUCUUUUAUUAAAGGAAUAAAGUCGGGUAUGGAUACCCGUUUGCAUGUACUUUAUGAAUAAGGAUCGGCUAACUCCGUGCCAGCAGCCGCGGUAAUACGGAGGAUCCGAGCGUUAUCCGGAUUUAUUGGGUUUAAAGGGAGCGUAGAUGGAUGUUUAAGUCAGUUGUGAAAGUUUGCGGCUCAACCGUAUAAUUGCAGUUGAUACUGGAUAUCUUGAGUGCAGUUGAGGCAGGCGGAAUUGGUGGUGUAGCGGUGAAAUGCUUAGAUAUCACGAAGAACUCCGAUUGGGAAGGCAGCCUGCUAAGCUGCAACUGACAUUGAGGCUCGAAAGGGUGGGUAUCAAACAGGAUUAGAUACCCUGGUAGUCCCACACGGUAAACGAUGAAUACUCGCUGUUUGCGAUAUACGGCAAGCGGCCAAGCGAAAGCGUUAAGUAUUCCACCUGGGGAGUACGCCGGCAACGGUGAAACUCAAAGGAAUUGACGGGGGCCCGCACAAGCGGAGGAACAUGUGGUUUAAUUCGAUGAUACGCGAGGAACCUUACCCGGGCUUAAAUUGCAGAUGAAUUACGGUGAAAGCCGUAAGCCGCAAGGCAUCUGUGAAGGUGCUGCAUGGUUGUCGUCAGCUCGUGCCGUGAGGUGUCGGCUUAAGUGCCAUAACGAGCGCAACCCUUGUUGUCAGUUACUAACAGGUCAUGCUGAGGACUCUGACAAGACUGCCAUCGUAAGAUGUGAGGAAGGUGGGGAUGACGUCAAAUCAGCACGGCCCUUACGUCCGGGGCUACACACGUGUUACAAUGGGGGGUACAGAGGGCCGCUACCACGCGAGUGGAUGCCAAUCCCAAAAACCUCUCUCAGUUCGGACUGGAGUCUGCAACCCGACUCCACGAAGCUGGAUUCGCUAGUAAUCGCGCAUCAGCCACGGCGCGGUGAAUACGUUCCCGGGCCUUGCACUCACCGCCCGUCAAG
rnacentral:rRNA from 1 species